AUUGAACGCUGGCGGCAGGCCUAACACAUGCAAGUCGAACGAGUGGCGGACGGGUGAGUAAUGUCUGGGAAACUGCCUGAUGGAGGGGGAUAACUACUGGAAACGGUAGCUAAUACCGCAUACCAUCAGAUGUGCCCAGAUGGGAUUAGCUUGUUGGUGGGGUAACGGCUCACCAAGGCGACGAUCCCUAGCUGGUCUGAGAGGAUGACCAGCAAAACUGGAAAUGCGACACGGUCCCGACUCCUACGGACGGCAGCAGUGGGGAAUAGUGCACAAUGGGCGCAAGCCUGAUGCAGCCAUGCCGCGUGUAGGAAGAAGGCCUUCGGGUUGUAAAGUACUUUCAGCGUGGAGGCGUUACCCGCAGAAGAAGCACAGGCUAACUCCGUGCCAGCGGCCGCGGUAAUAC
rnacentral:rRNA from 1 species